rnacentral:tRNA from 1 species
GCCCUAGUAGCUUAGCCACU